GACAGAGGGGCAAGCGUUGCUCGGAAUUACUGGGCGUAAAGGGCGCGUAGGCGGAAUGGCAAGUCGGUCGUGAAAUCCUUCGGCUCAACCGAAGAACGUCGAUCGAACUGCCGUUCGUUGAGGAGUUAGUCAGAGGAGACGUGGAAUUCCCGGUGUAGCGGUGAAAUGUGUAGAGAUCGGGAGGAACACCGGUGGCGAAGGCGGGUCUCUGGGCAAUUCCUGGACGCUGAAGGCGCGAAAGCCGUGGGGAGCAAACGGG
rnacentral:rRNA from 1 species